ACUUGUGGAAAUGAGGCAUGAAUAAAUGGAAUGGUUCACCAAACUACGUGGCAUAAUACGAAGGACUGGAACUUAGUCACAACUACUUUGGCCAGAGAUGAGCAUUGGCGUACUUGAAUGAACGAAAUAGUACUUCUUAAAGAACAUUUAACAGAAGGGUAAAUUGGCCGUAACAACGCACCACCCUAACAAAGGAACAUCGUCCUCAAAACAUCUCACACACAGGUAAGAUUU